rnacentral:lncRNA from 1 species
UAGUAUUUAUUUUUGCAUAGUAAGGAAUAUUUAUAGAUUAAAUUAAUGAAAUUAUAAUUGGUUGGUCAUGUGCUUAGAUUUUAUAUGCUUUAAUAUAAUUAUUAUGUGUUAAUGCAUGUUUAUGUAAAUGUAUAUAAACAGGUUGUUUGGAUGUUGAUUAUAACAAUAAAUUUGCAUGUGAUAAAUGUUAACGCAUGAUAUAUUUUACGACUACGAGAUGAAGUAACGAAGCAUGAUGAG